AGUGAACGCUGGCGGCGUGCCUAAUACAUGCAAGUCGAACGUGAAAGCCUUCGGGUGAGUAAAGUGGCGCACGGGUGAGUAAUGGAUGAGAACAUGCCCUAAAGUGGGGAAUAACUGUUGGAAACGACAGCUAAUACCGCAUAGUAACGAGAGUUUAAAGGUGGGGAUCUUCGGACCUACCGCUUUAGGAUUGGCUCAUCUCCCAUUAGCUAGUUGGCAGGGUAAAGGCCUACCAAGGCAACGAUGGGUAACUGGUCUGAGAGGAUGAUCAGUCACACUGGAACUGAGACACGGUCCAGACUCCUACGGGAGGCAGCAGUAGGGAAUAUUGCACAAUGGGCGAAAGCCUGAUGCAGCAACGCCGCGUGAGUGAAGAAGGCCCUUGGGUUGUAAAGCUCUUUAGCCUGGAAAGAAGUGUCCGCUGGAAAACAUUCAGCGGAUGUGACGGUACCAGGAGAAUAAGCACCGGCUAAUUUCGUGCCAGCCGCCGCGGUAACAC
rnacentral:rRNA from 1 species